GGGAGGGGCCCGCGGCCUAUCAGGUAGUUGGUGAGGUAACGGCUCACCAAGCCGACGACGGGUAGGGGGCGUGAGAGCGUGGCCCCCCACACGGGAACUGAGACACGGUCCCGACGCCUACGGGCGGCAGCAGUGAGGAAUCUUGCCCAAUGGGGGAAACCCUGAGGCAGCGACACCGCGUGCGGGAUGAAGGCCUUCGGGUCGUAAACCGCUUUUCUGGGGGACGAGUAAGGACGGUACUCCAGGAAUAAGUCCCGGCUAACUACGUGCCAGCAGCCGCGGUAAAACGUAGGGGGCGAGCGUUAUCCGGAAUCACUGGGCGUAAAGAGCGUCUAGGCGGCAGCCUAAGUCCCGUGUGAAAGCUCCCGGCUCAACUGGGAGAGGGCAUGGGAGACUGGGCAGCUAGAGACUCGGAGGGGGGUGUGGAAUUCCCGGUGGAGUGGUGGAAUGCGUUGAGAUCGGGAGGAACACCAGUAGCGAAGGCGGCACCCUGGCCGAGAUCUGACGCUGAAGCGCGAGAGCGUGGGGAGCGAACGGGAUUAGAUACCCCGGUAGUCCACGCCGUAAACGAUGACAACUAGGUGUUGGGUGUCCAAGGAUGCUCAGUACCGCAGCAAACGCGAUAAG
rnacentral:rRNA from 1 species